rnacentral:rRNA from 1 species
UAGGGGAUAUUGGUGAAUGCGGGCAACCGCGAACCAGCAACGCCGCGUGUGCGAUGAAGGCCUUCGGGUUGUAAAGCACUUUUGUGUGGGACGAGGAAGGACGGUACCACACGAAUAAGCCUCGGCUAACUACGUGCCAGCAGCCGCGGUAACACGUAGGAGGCGAGCGUUAUCCGGAUUUACUGGGUGUAAAGCGCGAGCAGGCGGUUUUGUAAGUUGGGUGUGAAAGCUCCUGGCUUAACUGGGAGAG